CCUACGGGAGGCUGCAGUGGGGAAUAUUGGACAAUGGGGGGAACCCUGAUCCAGUCAUGCCGCGUGUGUGAAGAAGGCCCUCGGGUUGUAAAGCACUUUCAGUGAGGAAGAACGCCUGGUGGUUAAUACCCAUCAGGAAAGACAUCACUCACAGAAGAAGCACCGGCUAACUCCGUGCCAGCAGCCGCGGUAAUACGGAGGGUGCGAGCGUUAAUCGGAAUUACUGGGCGUAAAGCGCGCGUAGGUGGCUUGAUAAGCCGGUUGUGAAAGCCCCGGGCUCAACCUGGGAACGGCAUCCGGAACUGUCAAGCUAGAGUGCAGGAGAGGAAGGUAGAAUUCCCGGUGUAGCGGUGAAAUGCGUAGAGAUCGGGAGGAAUACCAGUGGCGAAGGCGGCCUUCUGGACUGACACUGACACUGAGGUGCGAAAGCGUGGGUAGCAAACAGGAUUAGAUACCCGUGUAGUC
rnacentral:rRNA from 1 species